ensembl:lncRNA
AUGCGUGGCCUUGAUGGGUCUUCACCGUCAUUGUCAUCACCAAAGACCAUCCAUGGCCAUGAUGGGUCCUUCCAUGGUCUCGAUGGGUCUUUGCCUUCGUCAUCGUCAUCAUCAUGGACCAUAUGUGGUCGUGAAGGGUCUUCAUUGCCAUCGUCAGUGACCAUUUGUGCUCAUGAAGGGUCAUCAUCAUUGUGGAAUGUCCAUGAUGGAGAUGAGGCCAUCCGUGGUGUUGAUGGGACUUUUGCUUUAUCAUCAUCAUCAUCAGCCAUGGCCAUGAAGGAUCUCCAUUGUCAUCAAAGGCCAACCACAGACAUGAAGGGUCUCCACUGUCAUCAAGGGCAGUCCAUUGUAGUGAAGGGUCUCUGUUGUCGUCAUCGCGCAUCACCUGCGGUCCCAAUGGGUUAUUGCAUGCCAACUGUGAAGGAGAAAGAUCUUCAUCAUCCUCCUCCCCCUCAUGGACCCUCUGAUGUGGCCCUGUGGCUCAGCCACGGUGGAGAAGGACCCUCGUCAUCAAUGUUGUCAUCAUGGGGUUCCCACGGCAGUGAGGAAACAAUCCAUGGUGAUAUCAGGACCAUCCAUGGUGACACUGGGACUAUCCAUGGUGACAAUAUGACAAUCCAGAGUGACAUUGUGACAAUCCAUGGUGACAGUGACCCUUCCUCCUCCUCCUGGGCCACCCACGCCACCACUGAGGAGCUCCUCCAGCUCCACAUGGCCACCACCACAACCCUGUCUCUGCCAUCCCAGGAGAUCCUCAAGGUCCACGUGGAGGACAGUGACGGUGACAACAAUGACAAUGACAGCGAUGACAACAAUGAAGGCCCCACACAGAUCAUGCCAGACGACAGCAAUGCCCCUCCGGCCACGCUGCUGGACCCUCCCGCCAUCUUCUACAUCAAACCUGAGCUGGCCACCACCACGGUGACCACACUGGACAUCCCACUGCUGACCAACCCGACACCACCCAGCUGGAUGCCGAUGGACCCGCACGGCAACGAGCUCCCGUGCCGCAGUGGCCACACGGCCCACGUGCCAGUGAGGCCGGCACUGCGCUGGACCACGGGAAGCUCUCGGAGGCACGGCCCAAGGGCAGGAGGCACAUCCAGUGAGCCUGGGCUGGGGCCGCUCCCGCUGACCCUCGGGCUGUGGCCAUUCCCACUGACCCUCGGGCUGGGGCCGCUCCCGCUGACCCUCGGGCUGUGGCCCUUCCCCUGCGGCUGUUCCCGCUGACCCUUGGGCUGCGGCCGCUCCCACCAUCACCAGUUCUUGCAGCUCAGGCUCCACUGGGAGAGCACAGGAAACACAGAGGGCCCAAGUACAGCCAGUGACCAGGAUGGACCAGUAUGGACCAGUAUAAACCAGUACAAACCGAUACGAACCAGUGCAGAGCCAUAUAAAUCACUAUGGAGCAAUAUGGACCAGUAUGAGCCAGUACAAACCAGUACAAACCAAUGCUGGGUCUGUGAGUGACCACUGCAGCUCCCAGAUCAGUCUGGGGCUCUGGUCCCAGUUCAGGCUCUGGUCCCGGUUUAUGCCAGUUCCCAGUUUAGCCCCUGUACUCGUUUGGAAUCACUCCCAGUUCAGUCUGUACUGGUUCAGGCCCAAUUCCCAGUUUAGCCCAG